CUAGUUCCUUCGAUAUUAAUGCAAUCUAAUAAUCAUGAUUUUUUCUGUGUUGGUGUAGUGUACUCAGGUGAAUAUGAUGCUUGUGAUGUUACAAGCUCGCACGGUGUGGUUAUACACUCAGAGUAACAUCACAAGCAUCAUAUUCACAAGAAUCAUGAUUAUUAGAUUACAUUGAUAUCAAAGGAACUA